rnacentral:rRNA from 1 species
UACGAAGGGGGCUAGCGUUGCUCGGAAUCACUGGGCGUAAAGGGUGCGUAGGCGGGUCUUUAAGUCCGGGGGGAAAUCCUGGAGCUCAACUCCAGAACUGCCUUUGAUACUGAAGAUCUUGAGUUCGGGAGAGGUGAGUGGAACUGCGAGUGUAGAGGUGAAAUUCGUAGAUAUUCGCAAGAACACCAGUGGCGAAGGCGGCUCACUGGCCCGAUACUGACGCUGAGGAGCGAAAGCCAGGGGAGCAAACGGG